CACCGCGGUUAAACGGAUUCGCCCGAGUUGACAGCCUUCGGCACAAAACGUGGUUAAUUUACACUAAAACUAAAGUCGAACCCAUUUAUAUCUGUUGAAAGAGCAUUGAAAUGGGGAAGCCCAACAACGAAAGUGACUUUAAAACAAAUGAGCCCACGAAAGCUAUUAAA
rnacentral:rRNA from 1 species